UUAAAUUGAAGAGUUUGAUCAUGGCUCAGAUUGAACGCUGGCGGCAGGCCUAACACAUGCAAGUCGAACGGUAACAGGAAGAAGCUUGCUUCUUUGCUGACGAGUGGCGGAGGGGUGAGUAAUGUCUGGGAGACUGACUGAUGGAGGGGGAUAACUACUGGAAACGGUAGCUAAUAC
rnacentral:rRNA from 1 species